CCCUAGCUCCUCUUCUUGUGACCACUGGAACUCCCAGAACAGGUACCCCAGUGGUCAUCAUGGUGUGUGUGAGUCUGACUGUGUUGGUGGUGGGACUCAUCCUGCUACUGAUCUACAAAUGGAGGAGAGACAGGAAAUCAUCAAGGCCAGACUCCAAGCCAGAUACAGGAAUCACAGUGUGUGUAAGAGAGGGUACCAUCAAUACAACAACCCAAGACUCCACCUACCAAACCCUUAAUACAACAACCCAAGACUCCACCUACCAAACCCUCAAUACAACAACCCAAGACUCCACCUACCAAACCCUCAAUACAACAACCCAAGACUCCACCUACCAAACCCUCAAUACAACAACCCAAGACUCCACCUACCAAACCCUAAACUCAACAACCCAAGACUCCACCAACCAAACCCUAAACAAAACAACCCAAGACCCCCACCUACCAAACCCUCAAUACAACAACCCAAGACUCACACAGAGACAGUAAUGUGUUCAUUAAGUGUUGGUCUUCGUAACAUGUGUACCUAAUGUAAGAAAAUCCAUUCUGCACCAUACUGAUUUACUUAUAACUUAUUUGGA